GAAAUUCUCACCCCAGAGCCUCUCCAUCAUCUUUGACUCAUCAACUUUAAAUUUUUCUGCAUACAUCUUAGCAAAGUUGGUUAGUGUGAAAGCCCAGCCAUGUAAACCGGCCGAGAAAGCCACAGUUCCUUUCUCCGGAUAGACCUGAACGUCACCAAGAAGUGGAUCUUCAUAAGUGGCCAUAAUGACAUUAGCAUUCUCAAUAACCCUUUGGAAUGUCUGAUAUGCUUCCUCACCAUCCACCUGAAGCUCCAAGAAGCAGCGAUCCAUCUUAUUUACAGUCAACACAGGUCUAAUCCUCUCUCCAAGUGCUUGUCGAAGAACAGUUUCAGUCUGAACACAAACACCCUCAAUACAAUCGACAACAACCAAGGCACCAUCAGUAAUACGCAGGGCCGCUGUGACCUCUGAUGAGAAAUCAACGUGCCCGGGUGAGUCGAUCAAGUUGAUGAGAUACUCAUUUCCAGCUCUAUCACCCUUGAAGCUUUUCAAGGACUCAUCGGUCAUCUCAUAAUAAAGAGAGAUUCCAGUAGACUUAAUGGUGAUGCCUCGCUCUGCUUCAUCUGCACGAGUAUCAGUCAUCCUAACAUCCCCAGCAACUUCCUGGGCAAUAAUCCCAGCAGCCGCAACAAGAGAGUCAGUGAGGGUGGAUUUUCCAUGAUCAACAUGGGCAAUAACAGACAUGUUCCUAAUAUUAUGUUUCAUGUCCAUAAUCCUGCGAAGCUCCUCAGCAGUGAACUUCACCAUCUUGACGGCUUCUGAGGAACAGGAAUGAGAGCCUCGGCCGCCGGAUGAGGAGAGCGGGAUCGGC
rnacentral:misc_RNA from 1 species